rnacentral:rRNA from 1 species
UCCGUAGAUAUCACUAGGAAUACCUAAAGCGAAGGCGAUCUCCUGGAACAUUACUGACGCUAAGGCGUGAAAGCGUGGGGAGCAAACGGGAUUAGAUACCCCGGUAGUCCACGCCCUAAACGAUGAACACUAGUCGUCGGGAUGCUUGUCAUCUCGGUGAUGCACUUAACAGAUUAAGUGUUCCGCCUGGGGAGUACGGUCGCAAGAUUAAAACUCAAAGGAAUAGACGGGGACCCGCACAAGUGGUGGAGCAUGUGGUUUAAUUCGAAGAUACGCGAAGAACCUUACCUAGCCUUGACAUUGAAAGAAUACUUUAGAGAUAGAGUAGUGCCCUUCGGGGAGCUUGAAAACAGGUGCUGCACGGCUGUCGUCAGCUCGUGUCGUGAGAUGUUCGGUUAAGUCCGGCAACGAGCGCAACCCAUAUCAUCAGUUGCCAACAGGUAAUGCUGGGGACUCUGGUGAGACUGCCCGUGUCAAGCGGGAGGAAGGCGUGGACGACGUCAAGUCAGUAUGGCCCUUACACCCAGGGCUGCACACGUGCUACAAUGGCGACUACAGAAGGCAGCAAUAUCGCGAGAUGGAGCUAAUCCGACAAAAGUCGCCCCAGUUCGGAUUGGAGUCUGCAACUCGACUCCAUGAAGUCGGAAUCGCUAGUAAAGGCGUAUCAGCUACGACGCCUUGAAUACGUUCCCGGGCCUUGUACACACCGCCCGUCACAUCAUGGGAGCCUGGUGCACCCGAAGCCGUCGUACCAACUCUCCGGAGAGGAAGACGUCGAAGG